UACGUAGGUGGCAAGCGUUGUCCGGAUUUAUUGGGUUUAAAGGGUGCGUAGGCGGUCUAUUAAGUCAGUGCUGAAAUAUCCCGGCUUAACCGGGAGGGUGGCAUUGAUACUGAUGGACUUGAGUGCAGUCGAGGUAGGCGGAAUUGACGGUGUAGCGGUGAAAUGCUUAGAUAUCGUCAAGAACACCGAUAGUGAAGACAGCUUACUAGGCUGUAACUGACGCUGAGGCACGAAAGUGUGGGGAUCAAACAGG
rnacentral:rRNA from 1 species